rnacentral:rRNA from 1 species
UACGUAGGGUGCAAGCGUUGUUCGGAAUUAUUGGGCGUAAAGCGCGUGUAGGCGGCUUUGCAAGUCGGGUGUGAAAGCCCUCAGCUCAACUGAGGAAGUGCGCCCGAAACUGCAGAGCUUGAGUGCCGGAGAGGGUGGCGGAAUUCCCCAAGUAGAGGUGAAAUUCGUAGAUAUGGGGAGGAACACCGGUGGCGAAAGGCGGCCGACC